UCAUGGCUCAGAUUGAACGCUGGCGGCAGGCCUAACACAUGCAAGUCGAGCGGAAACGACACUAACAAUCCUUCGGGUGCGUUAAUGGGCGUCGAGCGGCGGACGGGUGAGUAAUGCCUAGGAAAUUGCCUUGAUGUGGGGGAUAACCAUUGGAAACGAUGGCUAAUACCGCAUAAUGCCUACGGGCCAAAGAGGGGGACCUUCGGGCCUCUCGCGUCAAGAUAUGCCUAGGUGGGAUUAGCUAGUUGGUGAGGUAAUGGCUCACCAAGGCGACGAUCCCUAGCUGGUCUGAGAGGAUGAUCAGCCACACUGGAACUGAGACACGGUCCAGACUCCUACGGGAGGCAGCAGUGGGGAAUAUUGCACAAUGGGCGAAAGCCUGAUGCAGCCAUGCCGCGUGUAUGAAGAAGGCCUUCGGGUUGUAAAGUACUUUCAGUUGUGAGGAAGGGGGUAGGUUAAUAGCGCUAUCUCUUGACGUUAGCAACAGAAGAAGCACCGGCUAACUCCGUGCCAGCCGCCG
rnacentral:rRNA from 1 species